rnacentral:tRNA from 1 species
GCAUUGGUGGUUCAGUGGUAGAGUUCUCGCCUUCCAUGCAGGAGGUCUGGGUUCAGUUCCCAGCCAACGCA